rnacentral:rRNA from 1 species
AGGGAAUAUUGGACAAUGGGCGCAAGCCUGAUCCAGCCAUGCCGCGUGAGUGAAGAAGGCCCUCGGGUUGUAAAGCUCUUUUGUUGGGGAAGAAAAGCAUUCGGUUAAUACCCGAGUGUUCUGACGGUACCCAAAGAAUAAGCACCGGCUAACUUCGUGCCAGCAGCCGCGGUAAUACGAAGGGUGCAAGCGUUACUCGGAAUUACUGGGCGUAAAGCGUGCGUAGGUGGUUCGUUAAGUCUGAUGUGAAAGCCCUGGGCUCAACCUGGGAAUGGCAUUGGAUACUGGCGGGCUAGAGUGCGGUAGAGGGUAGUGGAAUUCCCGGUGUAGCAGUGAAAUGCGUAGAGAUCGGGAGGAACAUCCGUGGCGAAGGCGACUACCUGGGCCAGCACUGACACUGAGGCACGAAAGCGUGGGGAGCAAAC